CCCUGCGCUCCUUGGUCUUCUCCAGAAAUUGAAUCAAACAUAUCGGAUUUGGGGAAAGCUUCGCAGUGUGGGUGUGGAGCUGCCUCAUCUUGUUCCGUGGCGGCCGUAGUCACUUUUUCCAUCCUUCGAAGACGACAGACGAUGAAACGAAACCUGCAACUGGAAGGGCAGAUGAAAAUCUAAUAAAUUUUUAUUUUCUUAGGAUACUUGAGAAACUUAUCCAUGGCGCCUUCCAAGAAAUCCAAAAGCGUGAAUAAGCGGUUUUUGAAUGUUAACGAUGAGUCCCCUGAUAAGAGUGGAAGCAACGGGAACAAAUCUAAGCAACGGAAGAGGAAAUUGUCUGAUAUGUUAGGGUCUCAGUGGAGCAGGGAGGAGCUUGUGCGGUUUUAUGAAGCCUACCGGAAGUAUGGGAAAGAUUGGAAGAAGGUUGCUGCUGCGGUACGCCAUAGAUCUGUGGAAAUGGUAGAGGCCCUUUACAAUUUGAAUAAAGCAUACUUGUCACUUCCAGAGGGAGCAGCAUCUGUGGUUGGACUAAUUGCAAUGAUGACUGAUCACUAUAAUGUUCUGGGAGGGAGUGAUAGUGAUCGGGAAAGUAAUGAUGCAUCGGUGAUAUCUCGAAAACCUCAAAAACAUGCUCGAGGAAAAUUUCAACUUAAUGUCUCUAAGCCGGAUGGAAAUUUUCCAGAUUUGUUGCAUUCCCAGUCGAUGUCAUCAAGUUAUGGGUGCCUAUCAUUAUUGAAGAAGCGGCGGUCUGGUGGUAGCCAACCUCGUGCUAAGGGGAAAAGGACCCCUCGCUUCCCCGUUUCAUUUACCUAUAAUAGAGAUGACAGGGACAAGUUUCUAUCACCAAAUAAACAAGGUCUGAGAUCAUAUGUAGAUGCCAAUGACGAUGAUGUUGCCCAUGAUGUAGCAUUAGCUCUAGCAGAGGCUUCACAAAGAGGCAGCUCUCCUCAAUUUUCUCAAACACCAAAUAGAAGAAUAGGGCGUAUGAGAUCAUCUUUACAGAAUGGUGAAAGAAUGCAUGCUGAAUCAGAGAGGGCCAGUGCAAAGCUUGUUGGUACUGCAACUGCAACGGAUGAAGACUGUUUGGAAGGAAGUCUUGGAAGUAGGGAAGCAGAAAAUGGAGAAUUCAUCAGAGAUGCUAAUUACCGGAUGGAUGCUGAAGGUGCUGCUACGGUAGAAGUUCCACGUAAAGGGAAAAAGAUUCACAGAAAGAAGCCAAAAGUUGAUGAAAUUGAUAACAAUCAUUUUGAUGAUGUUAGGGAAGCAUGUAGUGGCACUGAAGAAGGACUUAGUUUGAGUAAUGUUAAAGGAAAAACUGAAACUGAAGUAACAAAUGCAAAAACGGAGCGGUCCUCUUCUCAAGGUCCUAGGAAGAGAAGUAGGCAGCUCUUCUUUGGAGAUGAAAGCUCUGCUUUGGAUGCUCUGCAAACUUUGGCAGAUUUGUCUUUAUUGAUGCCAUCAUCUACUAUUGAAUCCGAGUCAUCUGUGCAGUUUAAGGAAGGAAAGAGAACUUUGGAAGUUGGUAAUAAGGCUAGUGCACCUGAAACUAUGUCUGCGAAUCAGAAAAGAGAAAAAGAUAAAACCACAGCUGCUAAGGAGAGAGGACAUCAAUCAACGGUUGGAGUUGAAGUCAUUACCCACAAAAGUGCCAAGCUAGGGAGGGAUUCAGGUUUCAAUGUUAGUGCUCUCUCUGAAGCAAAGCAACCAGCUUUCCAGUCUACCCCUAAUAUGAGGAAAAGGAAAUGCAAGUCCUUGGCAUCAAAAAUGCAGAUUCCAAAAGUUGAAGUUCACGAUGAUUCUUCUCUUAAUGAACAUCAAAAGACUGAGGCUUUGGCUGAGGAAGGAAAGAAAUCCAUUAGUAAAGCUAAACGUACUAAUCAAAUUGCUCUACCACCAAAACAAGGGAAAUUGGUCAGACCUGCAGAAUCCUCUUCUGGUACUGAGGCUCAAAAGACGGGGGCUGAUUCAGCUGCAUCAUCUGGGCAGGUUCCUACUGUAAAUCCAGUUAACUUACCAACUAAAGUAAGGAGUAGGCGGAAAAUGCAAAAGGAGUUGAAGUCUUCUGAGAGUGUUGGAAAUGACCAACCUACUAAAUAUGCUCUUCCACUUCAUGACAAGGCACUUGAUCUUAAGGAAAAGCUUUCUCAUGGUUUGUCGUCACGCUUGCUUCGUAGAUGGUGUUCUUAUGAGUGGUUCUAUAGUGCUAUUGAUUACCCGUGGUUUGCUAAAAGGGAAUUUGUGGAAUACUUAAAUCAUGUUGGAUUGGGCCACAUCCCAAGGUUAACCCGUGUUGAAUGGGGUGUCAUAAGGAGUUCCCUUGGCAAACCUCGGAGGUUAUCUCAACAGUUUUUACGUGAAGAGAAGGCAAAACUUGAACAGUAUCGUGAAUCUGUCAGAACUCAUUAUACUGAACUCCGUGCUGGUGUUAGGGAAGGACUUCCCACAGACCUAGCUCGCCCUUUGUCAGUGGGACAACGUGUUGUUGCUUGUCAUCCCAGGACAAGAGAAAUUCAUGAUGGGAGUAUAUUAACAGUUGAUCGAAACAAGUGCAGGGUUCAGUUUGACAGGCCUGAAUUAGGGGUUGAAUUUGUGAUGGAUAUUGACUGCAUGCCUUCAAAUCCAUUAGAAAAUAUGCCUGAGGCUCUUCGCAAAAAGAGCAUCACAGUUGAUAAGUUCUGUGAGAACUUCAACGAGCCUAAAUUGAGUCAACCCAGUGACUGCAAAGAGGGAGGUUACAUGAAAUUUGCUUCGUGUGAGCAAGAGAAUUUGAAUGGUCCUCCACACAUUUCUUCAUCUUAUGCCAUUAACAACUUAGUAAAGCAGGAAAAGGUCGAUGCAGUCAAUUGCAUUUCACAACCUAAAGCUGCAGCUAGUGAAAUUGUUAAUGCGCAAGAAGCAGCAUAUACUCAGCCUUGUACUCUGCCACAGAUUCAAGCAAGGGAAGCUGAUAUACGAGCGCUUUCUGAAUUGACUCGGGCUCUUGAUAAAAAGGAAGCAUUGUUGUUGGAACUGAGACACAUGAAUGACGAAGUACAGGGAAACGAGAAAGAUACGGGAGAGAACUUUCUUAAGGAUCUUGAGCCUUUUAAGAAGCAAUAUGCCUCGGUACUCAUACAGCUACAAGAAGCCAAUGACCAGGUUUCUUCUGCUCUGCUUUACUUGAGGCAGCGAAACACCUACCCAAGAAAUCCCCAGUCCCCAUUGAUGAAGUCAAUGGCUAAUUCAGUCAGCCCUGGGGGGCCACCAAGCUCCUUUGAUCAUUCUGGAUUUCUCUUUCAGGAAUCAGGAUCUCAUAUUGCUGAGAUUGUUGAAGGCUCAAGAUUGAAAGCAAAGACCAUGGUAGACAAGGCUACGCAGGCAAUGUCCUCGUUGAAGGAAGGUGAUGAUGCUUUUGCAAGGAUUGGGGAGGCUUUAGAUUCUGCAAAAAAUCUGCAUUUUCGAGCUGAUGCGAGCGUACCAGCUACAAGAUCUUUUACAUCUCUGGAGCCAGUUAAUGCCAAUUUGGUGGGUUCUCAGGGUCUGUCAUCCUCUUGCACACCAGAGCCAACAACAGUUGUCCAUCCAACUGGUACAAAGCUGAAUGGUGGACCUGAAUUAUAUGAAGCAAACAUACCUUCGGAGCUUAUCUCAUCCUGCGUCGCUACUUUGCUCAUGAUUCAGACAUGCACAGAGCGACAGUAUCCCCCAGCUGAGGUGGCCCAGAUCCUUGAUUCUGCUGUUUCAAGUUUGAAACCAUGUUGUUCCCAGAACCUUCAUGUUUAUGGAGAGAUACAACGGUGCAUGGGAAUUGUCAAGAACCAGAUUUUAGCACUCAUACCAACAUAAACCCCACACAUCCAACACUAGUGUCCACCUUGGCCUGGCUAGUCAAUAUGGAUCAGAGCCUUUUAUGCUUCAUAUUAUGGUCCAAUAAAGGCGUGGGAGGAAAGAAACAGCAAUAACUGUCAUUUUUCAAUGGAAGUUCAAUAUCAUUUUACAGACUUGAGAGUUUUUAACUUCAGAAACAAUACAAACAGCCAAGCUCUUGAAGGAAAGUUUAGCUGGUUAAAUCCAGGUAUUUCUCAAUCUAGAACAUAAUGCACUAGUCGUUCUAUCCCAAGGUCCAAGUAAAUGCAAUGUUCCUUUAUAUAAUAGAAUUCCCUUAUGGGAAUUACAUUUUAACUGGAGAUAG